UCAGAUUCCGGUUUUCAUUUUCCCACCUCCGCCGCCGAGGAAGAAGCCGGUUACAGGAAUCAGACGGCCGCCGCCGAAGGAGGGAUGGACAAUAGCUGUGAUCUGUUUAUUUGGGAUGAUGAAAUUGCCCACUCCAUUAGUGAAUCUUAAAUUCUGAAAGUUAUUGCAAUUAUUGUGAUGUGGCAAUAGUGAAGUUUGUACCGGCAGAAAGAAAAUUGGAAAAAUCCAAGUUGAAGAUAGUUGCAU